UACGAAGGGGGCUAGCGUUGUUCGGAAUUACUGGGCGUAAAGCGCGCGCAGGCGGCUAUCCAAGUCAGUGGUGAAAGCCCGGAGCUCAACUCCGGAACUGCCAUUGAAACUGUUUAGCUUGAGGAUGAGAGAGGUGAGUGGAAUUCCCAGUGUAGAGGUGAAAUGCGUAGAUAUCGGGAGGAACACCAGUGGCGAAGGCGACUUCCUGGCCUGUUCUUGACGCUGAGGCGCGAAAGCUAGGGGAGCAAACGGG
rnacentral:rRNA from 1 species